rnacentral:misc_RNA from 1 species
GAUGAAGAACGUAGCGAAAUGCGAUAAGUAAUGCGAAUUGCAGAAUUCCGUGAGUCAUCGAAUCUUUGAACGCACAUUGCGCCCGGUAGUAAUCUGCCGGGCAUGCCUGUCCGAGCGUCAUUUCAACCCUCGAACCACUAUUCGCGUAGCUGGAUCGGUGUUGGGGCACUACGGUGGAAUACCCGUAGGCCCCGAAAUGAAGUGGCGGUCCCGCCGCGGCGCCCCCAUGCGUAGUAACAUCUCGUCUCGCAUCGGGUCCCGGCGGAGGCCUGCCGUCAAGCCUAUUUUCUAAUUACAGAUGGUUUGACCUCGGAUCAGGUAGGGUUACCCGCUGAACUUAAGCAUAUCAAUAAGCGGAGGA